GACGGAGGGGGCGAGCGUUGUCCGGAAUUACUGGGCGUAAAGGGCGCGUAGGCGGUCGCGUACGGCGGUGGUUAAAGCUCCCGGCUUAACCGGGAGAGGCCCGCAGCAACGGCGUGACUGGAGGGUGGUAGAGGCAGAUGGAAUUCCUGGUGUAGCGGUGAAAUGCGUAGAGAUCAGGAGGAACACCCGUGGCGAAGGCGAUCUGCUGGGCCACACCUGACGCUGAGGCGCGAAAGCUCGGGGAGCGAACGGG
rnacentral:rRNA from 1 species